ensembl:lncRNA
GUUGGAUACUGAGAUGGACGCAAAGUAGUAUGACUGAGAAAACUAAUUUUAAUGUAUGGCUUCAGAGGAAAAAGGAAUUUGGGGCCAAACAAAAUAUGAUAUAAACAGAUCUGCAAGGUCUCCUAUGCUGGCCACUGAAGUCCUGCCAGUAGUCCUCAUAUCCCUGUCUGUGGUCAUAUGUGUUUUUGUACCAGUUUCUUUGGUGGUUUCAUUUCUCUGACAAGGCUUAGAGAGACAAAACAUACUGAGUAUACAAGCAAUAAAAAAGUGGUGCUCAACUUCCUUGCUAGAGUGGAUCACAUGAACAAUACCACAAAAUAGGGCAUAGGUGCACUCUCUUAGCCCUUUGUUCUGGAGGGACAACCCAGACAUGCCCUAAGUCCGUGCUGGGGGCAGACCAAAGUGCUCACCAUCUUGUCCCAGUAUUCAGGUUUUCACCAGGUGCACCAGAAAAAAACCUGUGGAACUUAGGCCAGGGGGUUCACUGAUCUAAACCAUCUGAACUUACAGCUAUUGGCUGUGCUGCUGAGUGUGUACAUCUAAUGUAAAUGCAUAAUCAUAGAAUCAUAGAAUUGUCUGAGCUGGAGAAGACCUUUAAAAGUCAUCUAGACCAAUUCCCCUGCAAUGAAUAGGGACAUGUACAGCCUAAUCACACUGCUCAAAGCCCCAUCCAGCCUGACCUUAAAUGUCUUUAGGGUCAGAGAAUCCAUAAUCUCUCUGGGCAACUUGUGCCAGUGCCUCACCACCCUUGUCAUAAAACACUUUUUCCUUAUAUCCAAUCUAAAUCUCCCUUCUUUUAGUUUGAAACCAUUUCCCCAUGUCCUGUCACAACCGACUCCUCUAAAGAGUCUGUCUCCUUCUUUCUUAGCCUUCCUUUAGAUUCUGAAAGGCCGCUCUCAGGUCACCUGGGAGCCUUCUCUUCUCCAGGCUGAACAACCCUUGAUCUCAGCAGGUCCUCACAUGGGAGGCGUUCCAUCUCUUGGAUCAUUUUUGUGGCACUCCUCUGCAUGUGCUUCAACAGGUCCACAUUUCUCCUGUACUGAGGACUUCACUUCAGACACCCACAUUGGUGGAAGAAUGUUCAGCAAAAAAUUAGUUUAAAACAGAGCGUCCCCAACACAAUGCUACAAUGAAAGCUUUUCUGGAUUGGCACUCAUCUGCUGUGCUCGCAUUUUUUGCAGCUAACCCUUGCCGUGCAAUGGGCCGUGUGGCCAUGUAAAGGACAAAUCUAGGAAAGGGAACGUGAGGCUGCAGCCCACCUGCACACCAUGUGGGGUCCAGAGGCACAAUGAGACCAUCAGCAUCUUUCCUCCCCGUCACCGCUGCUGCGUUUGACUCUUACCACAAAACAGUAAGUUCUAUUAAUUACAGUGGAUAGCAAUUCUAAGUGGUUACAGAAGAUAUUGAGAUAUUUACUAUCCCAGCUCAGUUGCUUUACCUUCAAACAAACAAAAAAGAAAAGCAAAAAAACCAAAACCAAAAACAG